GGUUCCAUGGUCUAGUGGUUAUGACAUUGGACUUUGAAUGCAAUAGCUCGAGUUCAGUUAUUGGUGGGACCU
rnacentral:tRNA from 1 species